rnacentral:rRNA from 1 species
UACGUAGGGGGCGAGCGUUGUCCGGAAUCAUUGGGCGUAAAGCGCGUGUAGGCGGCCCGGUAAGUCCGCUGUGAAAGUCCAGGGCUCAACCCUGGGAUGCCGGUGGAUACUGUCGGGCUCGAGUCCGGAAGAGGCGAGUGGAAUUCCUGGUGUAGCGGUGGAAUGCGCAGAUAUCAGGAGGAACACCGGUGGCGAAGGCGGGAUCCUGGGCCAGUACUGACGCUGAGGAGCGAAAGCGUGGGGAGCAAACAGG